rnacentral:rRNA from 1 species
UACGUAGGGGGCAAGCGUUGUCCGGAAUCAUUGGGCGUAAAGAGCGUGUAGGCGGUCCGUUAAGUCGGCUGUGAAAGUCCAAGGCUCAACCUUGGGAUGCCGGUCGAUACUGCCGGACUAGAGUUCGGAAGAGGCGAGUGGAAUUCCCGGUGUAGCGGUGAAAUGCGCAGAUAUCGGGAGGAACACCUAUGGCGAAGGCGGCUCUCUGGGACGGUACUGACGCUGAGACGCGAAAGCGUGGGGAGCGAACAGG